rnacentral:rRNA from 1 species
GAUUGUUUGAUCCUGGCUCAGGAUGAACGCUAGCGGCAGGCCUAACACAUGCAAGUCGAGGGGUAGAACACUUCGGUGUUUGAGACCGGCGCACGGGUGCGUAACGCGUAUGCAAUCUACCUUGUACAGGGGAAUAGCCCAGAGAAAUUUGGAUUAAUGCCCCAUAGUAUAUAACCUUCGCAUGUUGGUUAUAUUAAAGUUCCAACGGUACAAGAUGAGCAUGCGUCCCAUUAGUUAGUUGGUAAGGUAACGGCUUACCAAGACGAUGAUGGGUAGGGGUCCUGAGAGGGAGAUCCCCCACACUGGUACUGAGACACGGACCAGACUCCUACGGGAGGCAGCAGUGAGGAAUAUUGGUCAAUGGUCGCAAGACUGAACCAGCCAUGCCGCGUGCAGGAAGACGGUCCUAUGGAUUGUAAACUGCUUUUAUACAGGAAGAAACCCUCCCACGUGUGGGAGCUUGACGGUACUGUAGGAAUAAGGAUCGGCUAACUCCGUGCCAGCAGCCGCGGUAAUACGGAGGAUCCAAGCGUUAUCCGGAAUCAUUGGGUUUAAAGGGUCCGUAGGCGGUCUUAUAAGUCAGUGGUGAAAGCCCAUCGCUCAACGAUGGAACUGCCAUUGAUACUGUAAGACUUGAAUGCUUAGGAAGUAACUAGAAUAUGUAGUGUAGCGGUGAAAUGCUUAGAUAUUACAUGGAAUACCAAUUGCGAAGGCAGGUUACUACUAAGUGAUUGACGCUGAUGGACGAAAGCGUGGGGAGCGGACAGGAUUAGAUACCCUGGUAGUCCACGCCGUAAACGAUGGAUACUAGCUGUUCGGAGCAAUCUGAGUGGCUAAGCGAAAGUGAUAAGUUCCCACC